rnacentral:rRNA from 1 species
GCUGACGAGUGGCGAACGGGUGAGUAAUACAUCGGAACGUGCCCGAUCGUGGGGGAUAACGGAGCGAAAGCUUUGCUAAUACCGCAUACGAUCUACGGAUGAAAGCAGGGGACCGCAAGGCCUUGCGCGGACGGAGCGGCCGAUGGCAGAUUAGGUAGUUGGUGGGAUAAAAGCUUACCAAGCCGACGAUCUGUAGCUGGUCUGAGAGGACGACCAGCCACACUGGGACUGAGACACGGCCCAGACUCCUACGGGAGGCAGCAGUGGGGAAUUUUGGACAAUGGGCGAAAGCCUGAUCCAGCCAUGCCGCGUGCAGGAUGAAGGCCUUCGGGUUGUAAACUGCUUUUGUACGGAACGAAAAGACUUCUUCUAAUACAGGAGGUCCAUGACGGUACCGUAAGAAUAAGCACCGGCUAACUACGUGCCAGCAGCCGCGGUAAUACGUAGGGUGCAAGCGUUAAUCGGAAUUACUGGGCGUAAAGCGUGCGCAGGCGGUUAUAUAAGACAGAUGUGAAAUCCCCGGGCUCAACCUGGGAACUGCAUUUGUGACUGUAUAGCUAGAGUACGGUAGAGGGGGAUGGAAUUCCGCGUGUAGCAGUGAAAUGCGUAGAUAUGCGGAGGAACACCGAUGGCGAAGGCAAUCCCCUGGACCUGUACUGACGCUCAUGCACGAAAGCGUGGGGAGCAAACAGGAUUA